GCUCUUUUGGGUCUUGUAAUUGGAAUGAGUACAAUUUAAACCUCUUAACGAGGAACAAUUGGAGGGCAAGUCUGGUGCCAGCAGCCGCGGUAAUUCCAGCUCCAAUAGCGUAUAUUAAAGUUGUUGCAGUUAAAAAGCUCGUAGUUGAAACUUGGGCCUGGCUGGCAGGUCCGCCUCACCGCGUGUACUUGUCCGGCCGGGCCUUUCCUUCUGGAGAACCUCAUGCCCUUCACUGGGUGUGUUGGGGAACCAGGACUUUUACUUUGAAAAAAUUAGAGUGUUCAAAGCAGGCCUUUGCUCGAAUACGUUAGCAUGGAAUAAUAGAAUAGGACGUGCGGUCCUAUUUUGUUGGUUUCUAGGACCGCCGUAAUGAUUAAUAGGGACAGUCGGGGGCAUCAGUAUUCAAUUGUCAGAGGUGAAAUUCU
rnacentral:rRNA from 1 species